GGGUCUGCAUGGUAACCUUCCCCAGCCCAAAAUUUUUUAUUCUUCUCUUCCCCGGAAAAAAAGAAGAAUAGAAACCUGUUUGAUAACGGCAAGUUAGUUUUUUGUUCCCGGGAACAAAAAGUUAGCCCGGGAAUGGUUUUGUAAUAGAAAUGAGAAGUAAAAAAAAGUUGCUUCUUGUUCCCGGGAACAAGUUUAAGAAAUAAGUUAAUUUUUUUUUUCUUUUAUUCUUCUCUUGUUGACUGCCAUUGACCG
rnacentral:lncRNA from 1 species